rnacentral:rRNA from 1 species
AACGAACGCUGGCGGCAUGCCUAACACAUGCAAGUCGAACGAGACCUUCGGGUCUAGUGGCGCACGGGUGCGUAACGCGUGGGAACCUGCCCUUAGGUUCGGAAUAACUCCCCGAAAGGGGUGCUAAUACCGGAUAAUGUCUUCGGACCAAAGAUUUAUCGCCUUUGGAUGGGCCCGCGUUGGAUUAGCUAGUUGGUAGGGUAAAAGCCUACCAAGGCGACGAUCCAUAGCUGGUCUGAGAGGAUGAUCAGCCACACUGGGACUGAGACACGGCCCAGAAUCCUACGGGAGGCAGCAGUGGGGAAUAUUGGAAAAUGGGCGAAAGCCUGAUCCAGCAAUGCCGCGUGAGUGAUGAAGGCCUUAGGGUUGUAAAGCUCUUUUACCCGGGAUGAUAAUGACAGUACCGGGAGAAUAAGCACCGGCUAACUACGUG